rnacentral:tRNA from 1 species
UGGGUGGGUAGCCCAGUGGCGAAGGCAGCGGUCUGUAAAACCGUGACAAAGAAACGUCGGUGGUUCGAAUCCACCUCCACCCAU